GGGGCCUUCAAGCUUGCUUCCCGGGAGAAGAAUCCGCAGAGAGCACAGAUGAGGCUGCGGAAACAACAGAAGGGAGUCGUCCCCUUUCUUGGCACCUACCUGACAGACCUGGUGAUGCUGCACACUGCGAUGGGGGACUCUGUGCAUCAGGCUGACAUCAGCUUCCAGAAACUGAAUAAGGAAAUUACAGUCCUGC